GCCAUGGUGGAAAUGCCCCAGAGCUCUGCCUCUCUGAGUCCACAGCUGCGGAGGGACCCCCAGGUCUCUUUUAUUGUAGGAAGGGGAGGCUCUUUAUGCAAAUCUACUUUCUAUAUUCUUGUGUCUUUGUUAGAUGAACAAAGCCUGGUGAACAGGGGAUGCAAAUCUGUUCUCUAUUUCCUAAAGCAUUUGCCCCAGUUCUUGUCUGAGCCCUGAGCCUGAGGGCCUUCUCUGGGUAAUUUCUCAAGAUCAGAAAGGCCAGGUGAAUUUCAGGAUUUUACCCAAUAGAAGGGGCUUCAGAGGAAGCCACAGUUACACCCUUUGCACUUGAGCACCAUCAGGGAACUGGGACUAAUUAUGGUCCUCAGACCAAGGUUCACAGUAGCCCUGGUGCCCAUAAAAUGCCAUUUUCCGUAAAUCACCAGAUCACUCAGAAUGACUAUAUAUAAGCCCUUAACAUAUGCCAGAUGCAUUGGUGAUUGUUUUACAAGCGGGACCUCAAGAAGGCUUUCAUAAUGUGGAAUAGGAUGAUGCAAAGCCCUAUGCUUAAGGCCCGGUCUUUACUAGAAAACUAGUAUUGGGAGGUUACAUGUUUUCCCCAAACAGAUCUUUGAGGAAUCCUGCAGAUGCCAAAGACCUGCGGGCCUAAGAGCAGACACUUAUUUUCUCACAGUUCGGAAGCUGGGGAGUCAAGAUAAAGGUGUUGGUGGGUUUAGUUUCCCCUGAGGCCUCUCUCCUUGGCUUGCAGGUCGCUGCCUCCUUGCUGUGUCCUCACAUGCUCUUUCCUCUGCCUGCUCAUCUCUGGUGUUUCAUUUCUGUGUAUGUAAAUUUUUAUUAGCCUGGGUUAAUAAUUUUUAUAUCAGCCUGGCAGAUUCUGUCACUGAUCCAAGGACAGCCCUGUGGUCAGAGCUGUGACCUGAGGCAGAGCUCCUUGACCUCAGGGUAUCUCCCAGGAAAUCCCAGCCCUGCAGGAGCUGCCCAGACUGACACCAGGGCCAGGCACCUCCGGCUGUGUAUCCCAGAAAACAUGCUGUGUGCUGAGCUCUUUCCUGGAUUCCCUGAGAGGAAGAACAAGACUCCAAAAACUGUGCUACCCAUUCAGACCUCUGCAGAGUUUCUCUCUAAUUAAUGAGAACCUGUUUUUGGUCAUUUUUAUCAUUUAAUGAGGAAGAAAAUUCUUAAAGUCAGUAUAAGGCUUCCCAUUUCACAGCAGGUAAAGUUGAGCCCAUAGAGAUUACAUUGCCCAAGACAACAAAGAAAAGCCGUGGCAUGUCCAGGUUGAGUGCAGGUGUCCUGAAUUCAGAUACUGGGCUCUGUGGCGCAGAGACUGACCAGGGUAGGGGAGAAAGAAUGUGAGUGCUAGGGGGGUGGCAGGGCUAUGUCCCUUGGCUCACUGCCAUCCGCCAUGAUGGCCUGGCUGUGUGAGGAGCCCACCUCGGCUUGAAGGUGGUGGGGUCACUGGGGCUGUACUCCAGGUUAGAGCUGGAGAAUCUGUGGGGAUUGGUCGCUGUUUCGGAUGCAGGGCCUGGCUGGGCUCCUGCUGUCUUUUUCUGCAUUGUUGCCUGUUCCACUCUCUCCUGAGCAGGUGGGGGAAGGUAUCUCAUGGCCAACUCUACUGGACACAGCUGAGCCUUUAGGAGACCACAGAGCCUGCAGAAUCAGGAGACUGUGGGGCUCAUUCUCAGGGUUCCAUCCACUGAAAAAUAUCCUGGGCUGAACUCAGGGUCUGGGUCAGGCUCAGGUUUCUGUGGGAGCUGAGCCUGGGUUCAGGUCCUAGGUGGCACCUGUGCAAAGAGUGAGGAGGGGGAGCAGGAGAGGGGCCUGAGUCAUGGGGAGAUGCCCGGAGCUCUGCCUCCUGAGCCCACAGUUGGGCAGGGUUCUCCCAACCUCUAUCAUCCUCUCAGGAUGAAUGAGGCUCUGGGGUCAGUCAGCUACACUGAGCAGGUGUUCUGGAUGGUUCCAGAGUAGCCCAAAUGAGCCUGCUCUACAAGGAAAUGGAGAUGGAAGAGUGGCUCCCUCUCCCUCCAGCCGGAAAGUGUCCCUUCAGAAAGAGGCACUGGGUGCAGUGGCUCAUGCCUAUAAUCUCAGCACUUUGGGAG